GCCCGUGAAUUCUAGAACCAUGCCAAAUCGAUCAUCAGUUCUUGAGACUCCUGUUCAGAAGCAAAUCCAAUUCCAGAAAACAAAUCAGGAGCCUAAUUUCAAAUGGAGUGGAUUCUGGGGGAGAUGGUCGAUGAGUCAUGACAGUAAGCUAGGCCCAUUCUCAGCGGCUGUCCGUGCAUAUCCAUGAUUAUGAUGCCAUGAUGCCUUGUCAUCUGGAUAUCAUGUGUUGUUUGGGUCCUUGCUUUCGCAUAAGGUGCACCUCUUGCAGCAAUCUGUUGUGCACGAAGAAUAUUCUGUUGUCUUUUCCACCAACACAUCGAACAGAUAACCAUGACGAGGAAUGCCACAGAUGCACCAAAGGCAAUGCCAAUUUUUGCACCAGCAGAUAGGUGGGGCCCACAAGUAGGCAAUCCAGGUAUACCACAAAGACCUGAAUUAUCAGUAAAAUUGAAGCUAGCGCCAUGCAAAAGCCUUCCUCCUAGUGGAACAGGAACUUUUCCAGAUAAGGAGUUGCCAUUGAGAUUCAAUCUCCGCAGCAAUG
rnacentral:misc_RNA from 1 species